GACGAACGCUGGCGGCGUGCCUAAUACAUGCAAGUAGAACGCAGUUGCGAACGGGUGAGUAACGCGUAGGUAACUUCCUCAUAGCGGGGGGUAACUAAUGGGAACGGUAGCUAAUAACGCAUACUGUGACAUGGACCGGCGUUGUAUUAGCUAGUUGGUGGGGUAAAGGCUCACCAAGGCGACGAUACAUAGCCGGCCUGGGAGGGUGAUCGGCCAAACUGGGACCUGGAACCGGGCCAGAAUCCUACGGGAGGCAGCAGGAGGGAAUCUUCGGCAAUGGGCGGAAGGCUGAACGAGCAACGCCGCGGGAGUGAAGAAGGUUUUCGGGUCGGAAAGCUCCGUUGUGCGAGAAGCGGUAACUACCCAGAAAGCGACGGCUAACUCCGUGCCAGCCGCCGCGGUAAUAC
rnacentral:rRNA from 1 species